GACGAACGCUGGCGGCGUGCCUAAUACAUGCAAGUAGAACGCUGAAGACUUUAGCUUGCUAAAGUUGGAAGAGUUGCGAACGGGUGAGUAACGCGUAGGUAACCUGCCUACUAGCGGGGGAUAACUAUUGGAAACGGUAGCUAAUACCGCAUAACAGCAUUUAACCCAUGUUAGAUGCUUGAAAGGAGCAAUUGCUUCGCUAGUAGAUGGACCUGCGUUGUAUUAGCUAGUUGGUGAGGUAACGGCUCACCAAGGCGACGAUACAUAGCCGACCUGAGAGGGUGAUCGGCCACACUGGGACUGAGACACGGCCCAGACUCCUACGGGAGGCAGCAGUAGGAAAUCUUCGGCAAUGGGGGCAACCCUGACCGAGCAACGCCGCGUGAGUGAAGAAGGUUUUCGGAUCGUAAAGCUCUGUUGUAAGAGAAGAACGUGUGUGAGAGUGGAAAGUUCACACAGUGACGGUAACUUACCAGAAAGGGACGGCUAACUACGUGCCAGCAGCCGCCGUAAUAC
rnacentral:rRNA from 1 species